UUGCAUGUGUCAGUACAGGCCGCUCUAAGGCAAACCGCGAAUGGCUCAUUAAAUCAGUUAUCAUUCAUUUGAUCCAAACCAAUUACUCGGAUAACCCUGGUAAUUCUAGAGCUAAUACGUGACUUUUAAACUCCGACUGGAAGGGAGGAGUGCUUUUAUUAGUUGAAAACCAAGCGGGCCUCGGUCCGAAUCUUAGUGUGAUGACUCUGAAUAACUUUGUGCAGAGAGCACGGUCUCCGCACCGGCUCCGUAUCUUUCGAGUUUCUGCCUUAUCAUGCUGUGGAUUGUAGGCCAUGCGCCUACAGUGGCUGUUACGGGUGACGGAGAAUCAGGGUUCGAUUCCGGAGAGGGAGCCUGAGAAACGGCUACCACAUCCAAGGAAGGCAGCAGGCACGCAAAUUACCCAAUCCCAGCUCUGGGAGGUAGUGACGAAAAAUAACAAUGCGGGACUCUUCCGAGUCUGCGUAAUUGGAAUGAGCACACUUUAAAUCCUUUAGCAACAACCAAUUGGAGGGCAAGUCUGGUGCCAGCAGCCGCGGUAAUUCCAGCUCCAAUAGCGUAUAUUAAAGUUGUUGCGGUUAAAAAGCUCGUAGUUCGAGCUCAGUUCCGGACUGGCCGGGGAGGUCACCGCCCGGUGCUUCCCCGUCAGGCUCCGAACAGCUUCCGUGAGUGGAAGCCAAGCCGGUUCUGCCGGGGUGCUCUUUACCGAGUGUCCCGUGCGGCCGGCCAGUUCACCUUGAAUAAAUGAGAGUGCUCAAAGCAGGCUACUCUCGAAUACAAUGCCCGAAUGUUACCUGCAUGGAAUGAUGGAAGAUGAUCUCGGUUCCAUUUUCUUGGUGGUGGGAGCCCGAGGUAAUGAUAAAGAGGGACUGUCGGGGGCAUCCGUACUACGACGCGAGAGGUGAAAUUCAGUGACCGUCGUAGGACGAACAACAGCGAAAGCAUUUGCCAAGAAUGUCUUCGUUGAUCAAGAACGAAAGUUAGAGGAUCGAAGGCGAUCAGA
rnacentral:rRNA from 1 species